rnacentral:snRNA from 1 species
AUGCUCUGGUUUCUCUUCAUAUCGUAUAAAUCUUUCGCCUUUUACUAAAGAUUUCCGUGGAGAGGAACAAUUACGAGUCCUUAGUUAAUUUUUUGGGGCCCUAUUGAAGUAGGGUU